rnacentral:lncRNA from 1 species
UGGGUCGAGACGUGUGUAGGUGUAGGGAGGUGACAAGCUGCUGAGACAGUGUCUGAUUCACCGACAGCUGAACCAGCUACUGGUACUUGGAGGUGGGCGUUUGCUGAACUGUUUUCCUCCCACCUCCCCCAACCCCCUACCCCGGUGGGGAGCGGGCUGGAGGGUCGGAAGAGGCAAGGUGGAUGACAGCCGAGAAGUGCGUGCCCGCUCUUCCCUCUCUCCCUCCUCCUCCCAGUUUCAUUUCCACACAUACAGCCACCCACCGGGGACCGGAGGCGGCUAGUGUUCUCUGAACGCCGG